AUUGCUCCACUACAAGAUGGACCUGCGUUGUAUUAGCUAGUAGGUGAGGUAAUGGCUCACCUAGGCGACGAUACAUAGCCGACCUGAGAGGGUGAUCGGCCACACUGGGACUGAGACACGGCCCAGACUCCUACGGGAGGCAGCAUG
rnacentral:rRNA from 1 species